rnacentral:rRNA from 1 species
UGACGCUGAGGCACGAAAGCGUGGGGAUCAAACAGGAUUAGAUACCCUGGUAGUCCACGCAGUAAACGAUGAUGGCUAACCGCUGGGUAAUACUAUUCAGUGGCCAAGCGAAAGCGAUAAGCCAUCCACCUGGGGAGUACGACCGCAAGGUUGAAACUCAAAGGAAUUGACGGGGGCCCGCACAAGCGGAGGAACAUGUGGUUUAAUUCGAUGAUACGCGAGGAACCUUACCCGGGCUCGAACGGCUGGCGAAGAGAUCCAGAGAUGGUGACGUCCUUCGGGACGCCAGUCGAGGUGCUGCAUGGUUGUCGUCAGCUCGUGCCGUGAGGUGUCGGCUCAAGUGCCAUAACGAGCGCAACCCUUGCCGUCAGUUACCAUCAAGUAGUGUUGGGGACUCUGGCGGGACUGCCACCGCAAGGUGUGAGGAAGGGGGGGAUGACGUCAAAUCAGCACGGCCCUUACGUCCGGGGCGACACACGUGUUACAAUGGCGGCCACAGAGGGGCACUACCUGGUGACAGGAUGGGAAUCUCGAAAAGCCGUCUCAGUCCGGAUCGGAGUCUGCAACCCGACUCCGUGAAGCUGGAUUCGCUAGUAAUCG